rnacentral:telomerase_RNA from 1 species
ACGCAUCACGCUCACUGCCACCAUGCCGUCCUCAAGGGAACAUCCUUCCUAACCCUAAAUUAGGCUUCCCACUGUCCAGUCCUGGGACAGUGUGCCCCACUCCAUGUACUAAGGGCUUUCGUUUCACCUUCCCCUUCAAGCAAGGUCAUCAGACGGAGUGGCUGCAGCAGUGCUGAUGGGCGGCUGUGCCGUGGGGCAUGCCAGCAGCGCUGCCUUUGGCUUGAUGCCUUGGCUGCUGCAAUGACGCACUCAUGUGCUGGCAUGCAUGUACUCCGGGCACGGCGAUGCGAUGGUGCUGCAUAUUGC